rnacentral:rRNA from 1 species
AAAUGAAUAGACGGGGGCCCGCACAAGCGGUGGAGCAUGUGGCUUAAUUCGAGGCAACGCGAAGAACCUUACCUGGGCUUGAAAUAAUAGUGACAGUCGUAGAAAUACGAUCUUCCUUCGGGACGCUACUACAGGUGCUGCAUGGCUGUCGUCAGCUCGUGCCGUGAGGUGUUCGGUUAAGUCCGACAACGAGCGCAACCCGCGUCAUUAGUUGCCAUCAGGUAAUGCUGGGGACUCUAAUGAGACUGCCCGUGUAAGCGGGAGGAAGGCGCGGAUGACGUCAAGUCAGUAUGGCCCUUACGCCCAGGGCUGCACACGUGCUACAAUGGGUGGUACAAUGAGACGCAAAGCUGCGAGGCUGAGCAAAUCUACAAAACCACUCUUAGUUCAGAUUGCACUCUGCAACUCGAGUGCAUGAAGUUGGAAUCGCUAGUAAAGGCGUAUCAGCUACGACGCCUUGAAUACGUUCCCGGGCCUUGUACACACCGCCCGU